CCGAAAUUAUUGGGCGUAAAGCGUCCGUAGGUUGUUUGUUAAGUCUGGAGUUAAAGACCGGUGCUCAACGCCGGCACGCUUUAGAUACUGGCAAACUAGAGUUAUAAAGAGGUAAGUGGAAUUUCAUGUGAAGCGGUGGAAUGCGUAGAUAUAUGAAAGAACACCAAUGGCGAAGGCAGCUUACUGGUUAUAUACUGACACUGAGGGACGAAAGCGUGGGGAGCAAACAGGAUUAGAUACCCUGGUAGUCCACGCCGUAAACGAUGAUCAUUAGUUGGUGGGGGGACCCUCGCUAACGCAGCUAACGCAUUAAAUGAUCCGCCUGAGUAGUAUGCUCGCAAGAGUGAAACUUAAAGGAAUUGACGGGGACCCGCACAAGCGGUGGAGCAUGUGGUUUAAUUUGACGAUACGCGUAGAACCUUACCCACUCUUGACAUCCCUUGCAAAGCUAUAGAGAUAUAGUG
rnacentral:rRNA from 1 species